rnacentral:rRNA from 1 species
AUCUACAGCCAUACCACCCUGAACGCGCCCGAUCUCUUCUGAUCUCGGAAGCUAAGCAGGGUCAGGCCUAGUUAGUACUUGCAUGGGAGACCGCCUGGAAAUACCAGGUGCUGUAUUCU